rnacentral:rRNA from 1 species
CCGCCUGGGAAGUACGUACGCAAGUAUGAAACUUAAAGGAAUUGGCGGGGGAGCACCACAAGGGGUGAAGCCUGCGGUUCAAUUGGAGCCAACGCCUGAAACCUUACCCGGAGAGACAGCAGAAUGAAGGUCAAGCUGAAGACUUUACCAGACAAGCUGAGAGGUGGUGCAUGGCCGUCGCCAGCUCGUGCCGUGAGAUGUCCUGUUAAGUCAGGUAACGAGCGAGAUCCCUGCCUCUAGUUGCCACUAUUACACCCUGGUGUAGUAGGGCGAAUUAGGGGGACCGCCGCAGUUAAUGCGGAGGAAGGAAGGGGCCACGGCAGGUCAGUAUGCCCCGAAACUCUGGGGCCACACGCGGGCUGCAAUGGUAACGACAAUGAGUUCCAAAAUCGAAAGAUAGAGGUAAUCCCUAAACGUUACCACAGUUAUGAUUGAGGGCUGCAACUCGCCCUCAUGAAUAUGGAAUCCCUAGUAACCGCGUGUCAUUAUCGCGCAGUGAAUACGUCCCUGCUCCUUGCACACACCGCCCGUCGUUUCAUUGAAGUUUGCCUUUAGCGAGGUGAUGUCUGAUUGGCAUUAU